rnacentral:tRNA from 16 species
GCACGAUAUCGCGUGGUGGCGGGCGCGGGCUUCCACGCCUGCGGGGGCUCGGCGGCCCAGUGGUUCGAUUCCACCUUGC